UACGUAGGGUGCAAGCGUUGUCCGGAAUUAUUGGGCGUAAAGAGCUCGUAGGCGGUUUGUCGCGUCGAAUGUGAAAUCCCGGGGCUCAACCCCGGGCCUGCAUUCGAUACGGGCAGACUAGAGUUCGGUAGGGGAGUCUGGAAUUCCUGGUGUAGCGGUGAAAUGCGCAGAUAUCAGGAGGAACACCGGUGGCGAAGGCGGGACUCUGGGGCCGAUACUGACGCUGAGGAGCGAAAAGCGUGGGGGAGCAAAACAGGAUUAGAAA
rnacentral:rRNA from 1 species